GUGCUUUUGUGCAUGCAGAGCUGUGGUCAGGCUUUGCCUAAUGAUCUCAGAAGGCUCUCUUGUAAUGGCCUGAUAGCAUUAAUUUUUGCUCUGAGACCAUUUAGAUGUCCAUUCUGAUAAGUACGCAGAUUCCAGGAAGGCAACCCCUCCUCCACUGCUACAGCAGUGUUUGGAGAGUUAUUCAGCCAAGAAUGGGAAAAACACACUGGGAGCAUUGCGAGAAGAAUAUUGAAUGGUCUAAUUGAGAGAGAAAGAGUGAGCGAGCAUUGUGAUUUACAUUCAAACAGCCUGGUGAAUUUCUUCGGAAAAAAUAUUCUGGUCAAAUAAGAGCUUGAAGCAGUCCAAUGUGAAAGUGGCAGAGAGUGAAGAACACCUAAUGAAAGGUAUCUACAGUGAUAGAAAUGGUGUUUGGUGACUAUUCUAGGUUUUGACAAGCUAUUCCAGUCACUUCCUGCACACCUCUUCAGGUAGACUCUUCUUCAUUGUCAUUGCCAUCCUCAGGACCAGCACAGACACUAAGCAGGGACAAGGCAGGAGAUACUGGGAGAUCAUGUUGUUUUUUUUUCCUUAAUGGUGCAGAAACUUUUGUGUUAUUUUUUGCCCUGUGCUAAAAAAUUCCUAUUGAGCAAUCUCUGUGGAGUAACUCAGGACAGCUGCUCAAAGGACAGUUUGGUGGUCACUGUGCAUGAUUGAAAACCUCAUCUGAAGUCUGCAGAAGGCUUUAUUCAAUAAAAUGGAUUCAAGUUUAAAGUAAAAGUCAGUGCAUCACGGGUCUUAAAAAAUUAUUAGUAAUAUUAAUGGCAGCAAAUUUCUUCUACUACUUCUCAUCACUUCCCACACUCUAAAUCAUGUCUUAAGAACACCCCAUUGAUGCUGCUCUUUUUUCAUUUCCACAUUGGCAGAUGCCACUGGAAUAAGUGUCUUGACAAGCAGUUGUCAUAAUUUCUUCUUCCUCUUCCUUUAGAUAGUAACUUACUACUGAAAUGCCAAUUUUCCCACACACUGUGUCAUACAUUUAGAAUGCAUUAUGUAUUAAAUUACUUUGAAAUAGUUGGCAAACGAGCUGGCAUCUC